AACUGGACAUGCUGCUAGAGGUUGGGUGGUCAGACACUGUGAUCCCGGGUGCUGUGCCCGCACUACGGGAAGGGGAAGCAGCGCGUGGGUCUCGCAUCAGGAGGCAAGGCCAGGACCCGCUGACCCAUGCCUCCUGCCGCGGUUAGAGCCCAAGUUUGUCAAGGUAUUUUGGAUCCCGGAGAGCGAGAACCCAGACGACGACAAAAUCUACUUCUUCUUUCGUGAGACGGCGGUAGAGGCGGCGCCGGCACUGGGACGCCUGUCCGUGUCCCGCGUUGGCCAGAUCUGCCGGAACGACGUGGGCGGCCAGCGCAGCCUGGUCAACAAGUGGACGACGUUCCUGAAGGCGCGGCUGGUGUGCUCGGUGCCCGGCGUCGAGGGCGACACCCACUUCGAUCAGCUCCGUGAGUGCGGGAGUGGGUAUGGGGUUGGGGAGGGGGGCAGCGGCGCAGACUCCGGGAGCCCCCGCCGCAGCGGGGCUGUGCGCCCUACCCCAGCUAGGCCCCUUCCCCGCAGAGGAUGUGUUUCUGUUGUCCUCGCGGGACCACCGGACCCCGCUGCUCUAUGCCGUCUUCUCCACGUCCAGCAUCUUCCAGGGCUCUGCGGUGUGCGUGUACAGCAUGAACGACGUGCGCCGGGCCUUCUUGGGACCCUUUGCACACAAGGAGGGGCCCAUGCACCAGUGGGUGUCAUACCAGGGUCGCGUCCCCUACCCGCGGCCAGGCAUGGUUCGUAGCCCAGGGACUUCUACUACAACCCACUUCAAAGCCUCAAGGGUUUGAGAACUUGGCCUGGGGUCUUCUUGGUGAAUGUGGUUUCUUCCUUUAGUUAUGGGUGGGAAAACGUUUCCAUCAUAAGACAAGGCUUGUUUCCCGCCUCUGACUUCCUAGGGCAAGGCUGAUCUCCUCUCUAAUUCUCAGGGCAGGGUUCUGUCCCCAUCCCCCUCCAUGUUCCCAGAGGCUGGGCAUGGAGGGCUGCCUAUCAAGCCCCCAUAUCUAUAUCCCUGCUGUG
rnacentral:sRNA from 1 species